ensembl:lncRNA
CUCAAGGGAAGCAGUAUUUUAUAACUUCAAUCAUUUCAAGACACUUCAACAAUGUACCUGUCACAAUACUUCCAAUUACUUUUCUUCAUUAGCUGUACCACAUUUCAGAAAAUAAUCGACUCUCUCCAUUAUCUGAGCCAGUUUGGACCCCUCCACCUAAUUCCUCUAGACCAGUUCACCUUCAAUGUGUUGAGUAGUGUUCCCAAGGAUGUUCUGUGUUCAUGGCUGACCAGUCAGAUGAAUGGAGGACCUCCCACAUCUGGAGUGGAUCCCUCCCAGAACCAGGGACAAUGGCAACAUUUACUUUGGAGAACGCCUCCCUCUGCAUGUCAGAACAAGCCCAACACAGCUCCAGCCACCAUCCAGACGAACUCCAGCUAUGGACAAGAUCCAGAUGACUUCAUGGACUGGACGGAGGGCCCCCAGAAGGAUAAGAACAAAAUUGGUCAAUGGCAGAAUAAAUACCCCUGUCGUCAGGUUGAGGAACCUAUGGACGUUGAUGUUGUGGGCAACAAACAUUUACCUCCAAAUAGGCCUCUCUCUGCAUGUCAGAACCAGCCCAACACAGCUCCAGCCGCCAUCCAGAAUAAGUCUUGCUAUGGACAAGGUCAAGAUGACUUCAUGGACUGGACAGAGGGCCCCCAGAAGGAUAAGAAGAAAAUGGGUCUAUGGAAGAAUAAAUACCCCUGUCAUCAGGAUGAGCAACCUAUGGACGUUGAUGUUGUGGACCACAAACAUUUACUUCCAAAUAGGCCUCUCUCUGCAAGUCAGAACCAGCCCAAUACAGCUCCAGCCGCCAUCCAGAAAAAGUCUUGCUAUGGAAAAGAUAAAGAUGACUUCAUGGACUGGACAGAGGGCCCACAGAAGGAUAAUAUGAAAAUUGGUCUAUGGCAGAAUCAAUACCCCUGUCGUCAGGUUGAGCAACCUAUGGAUGUUGAUGUUGUGGACAACAAACAUCUACCUCCAAAUAGGCCUCUCUCUGCAAGUCAGAACCAGCCCAAUACAGCUCCAGCCGCCAUCCAGAAAAAGUCUUGCUAUGGAAAAGAUCAAGAUGACUUCAUGGACUGGACAGAGGGCCCACAGAAGGAUAAUAUGAAAAUUGGUCUAUGGCAGAAUAAAUAUCCCUGUCGUCAGGUUGAGCAACCUAUGGAUGUUGAUGUUGUGGACAACAAACAUCUACCUCCAAAUAGGACUCUCUCUGCAAGUCAGAACCAGCCCAAUACAGCUCCAGCCACUAUCCAGAAAAAGCCCUGCUAUGGACAAGAUCCAGAUAACUUCAUGGACUGGACAGAGGGCCCACAGAAGGAUAAUAUGAAAAUCGGUCUAUGGCAGAAUAAAUACCCCUGUCGUCAGGUUGAGCAACCUAUGGAUAUUGAUGUGGACAACAAUCAAUCAAGAUUAAGUAGCAAAAACACAGUGAGUCCAAGCCAAUCAGCUGGUACAACCAAAACAACCGUCUGGCGCCGCUCAUCAAAAGCAGCUACUCGUUGGUCAUUCUCACAUCAGAACAAAGUGAAAUGUUGGCCAUACAGUCAGACAACCCGUAUCCAGGCAACCAGGCAACAGACACCAAAUGUCACGGCCUGAUUCCUUCUGAAACCCUGCCUGUCCCAGACCACGUACCUGCCUGCCGCCCGUCUGUCUCUCAAGUUCAUCGAUCUGGUACCGAACCUCUGCCUGACCUCAACCACAUACCUGCCUGCCGCCCAUCUGUCCCUCAAGCUCAUCGAUGGUGUUCUGAACCUCUACCUGACCUCGACCCCAUACCUGCCUGCCGCCUGUCUGUCCCUAAAGCUCAUCGAUGGUGUACCGAACCUCUGCCUGACCUCGACCACGUACCUGCCUGCUGCCCAUCUGUCCCACAAGCUCGUCGAUGGUGUACCGAACCUCUGCCUGACCUCGACCACAUACCUGCCUGCCGCCCGUCUGUCCCUCAAGCUCAUCGAUCGUGUACCAAACCUCAGCCUGUCCUCGACCACAUACCUGCCUGCUGGCCGUCUAAAUAAACACUCCAUUUUGGCAUGUAUCUUUGAUUGCAGUUCAGUAUUCUUUUGCAAUCUCCAUUUGGUUACUCUGCACCCUAAAAAAC